GAGUUGGCUUAGCUGGAAAGGAUCUGAGGUAUUUGGGAAAGAGAUCUCUGGUUCGAAUAAAUUUGAUAUCCAGAGAAAAGAAUUAAGCAACCGGUCUUCGUCUCCGGCUUUAGAAGAGUUAGUGCCCACUGGCCUGGAUCACCCUCCUGGUUUAACAAAAAAAAAAAUGUUUAUAUGCAAUCAAAGGAUAUCAGUGUUUAUGCAUUUUCGGUGGGUAGUAAAUAUGGUCUUUUAAAUGGGCUAACGUGAUUCACUAAUUAAGUAGCAAGGA
rnacentral:lncRNA from 1 species